AUUGAACGCUGGCGGCGUGCUUAACACAUGCAAGUCGAUCGGUAACGCGGGGGCAACCCUGGCGACGAGAGGCGGACGGGUGAGGAACGCUUGGGAAUCUGCCCUUCAGCGGGGGACAACACGGGGAAACUCGUGCUAAUACCGCAUACGCUCCACGGAGGAAAGCCGGGGACCGCAAGGCCUGGCACUGAAGGAUGAGCCCAAGUCGGAGUAGCUAGUUGGCGGGGUAACGGCCCACCAAGGCGACGAUCCGGAGCUGGUCUGAGAGGACGAGCAGCCGCGCUGGGACGGAGACACGGCCCAGACUCCUACGGGAGGCAGCAGUGGGGAAUAUUGGACAAUGGGGGAAACCCUGAUCCAGCGACGCGGCGUGGGGGAAGAAGGCCUGCGGGUUAUAAAGCCCUUUCGGUAGGGACGAAAGCUCUCGACCUAACACGUCGGGAGGUUGACUUAACCUACAGAAUAAGCACCGGCUAACUCUGUGCCAGCAGCCGCCGUAAUAC
rnacentral:rRNA from 1 species